rnacentral:rRNA from 1 species
GACGAACGCUGGCGGCGUGCCUAACACAUGCAAGUCGAACGGAAAGACGCUGCUUGCACGGUACUCGAGUGGCGAACGGGUGAGUAACACGUAGGUGGAUUGCCCUGCACUUAGGGUUAAGUAUGGGCAACUGGGCCUAAUACCGAACAGGACCGAACUUGAGCGUGUGGGGUGGAUAGUUCUUGCGGUGUCGGAUGAGCCUGCGGCCUAUCAGCUUGUUGGUGGGGUAAUGGCCUACCAAGGCGGCGACGGGUGGCCGGCCUGGGAGGGUGUACGGCGACAUUGGGACUGAGAUACGGCCCAGACUCCUACGGGAGGCAGCAGUGGAGAAUAUUGCACAAUGAGCGCGAGCCUGAUGCAGAGGUGCUGGGUGGGGAAUGAAGGCUUUCGGGUUAUAAACUCCUUUCGCUGGAGACGAAGCUUUUUGGAACGGAACUAAGAAAAAAGGCACCGCUAACCUACGU